AAUCAUCUCCCAUUGAAAGCUGAAUCAUGAGGAUACCAUCUCCAAGCAGGUGGAGUAUUUGAUCCCUUUAGCAAGGCAGUGAUUUUGAAAUUCGGGUUUAGACAAAAAGAUAUUUCAAGCUCCUGAAGAACAAGUUUGAAGGAUUCAGAGCAGAGAAUUGCACCCUGGCAUGAUGCCUAUGCCAGCUGGACUGUGUGAUUUUUGUUCUUUAGUAGAAGGAUAACAUGACAUAGCAGGAAUAAUACUGCCUUUUCUUUCUGGCAUGGAUCAAGAGAAAAGAAAAUACAAGAAAACAGACAGAAGCAAGGCAAGGUACUUCUAUGGAAGGGUGAGCCCUCACAGAUGGAGCAAUGGGGCGCGCACACCUGAACAAGGGAGGGGAAGGAGUUCUUAUCCCUGAUGCAUGUGACCCCUGCUGCUGUGUCCUUCCCCUAUUGGCUAAGGUUAGACCACACAGCCUAAACUAAUUCCGAUUGGCUAAUUCAAAGAGAGCGACGGGGGCUUCUGACAGCUUUGGAGAUUGUGACAUUGGAAUAAAGGAAAAACGUACAGGACUCAUGAAGCGCUGAAAUGUUCACAAAUAUCAAGCAAAAGUCAAUGAAAUUUAUUUUGAGCUAUUUACAUCAUUUAAUAAUUGAGCAAGGUAUACUCCUAUGAACAAAAUUUGGAGCAUGUUUGUCUCUCUCUGCCUGGCGUCUUCAGAAUUUGGAAACUAGUUAUGGUUUAUAAUCAGCUAUAGAAUUUUAACACGUGCUCUCAAAUGCAAGUUUCUGAUAACUUUGGAGAUUGUGACAUUGGAAUAAAGGAAGAGCUGGAAUGUUCAUGAAUAUCAAGCAAAAGUCAUGGAAAUUUAUUUUGAGCUAUUUACAGCAUUUAAUAAUUGAGCAAGGUAUACUCCUAUGAACAAAAUUUGGAGCAUGUUUGUCUCUCUCUGUCUGCCUGGCAUCUACAGAAUUUGGAAACUAGUUUCGUUCCCAGAUUUCCUAAACUUUCCAGAGAAAAUGGUCUUCUCCCUGGCUCAGCAAGAAGAUGAACUUUAAACACUGAGAAACUGGUCAUCUCCCUGGCUCAACCAGAAGAUGAACUUUAAACACUACUCUCAAUGACUUGAUGUUCCCAUCACUACUCCUGUCAUAAAGGGAGGGGACUCAGAUAUUGAGAAUUUUAUGAUAGUGUGAACUGUCUGCUACUCCCUCUGCUGGCCUCACCGAUGACUUACCUCAUGAUGAGACCGAGACCAUCAUCCCUGAGGGUGUGACUUCCUGUUCAUCACAGCUUCUCUGGCCAGAUUGCCGUAUCUGUCUUUUUGCAAUUGUCACAAUUGGGUGAAGAAUUACCAAGACCUACUUAACUAGAUUAUCUGGGUGCCACGAAUAUUCACUGCUCCAUUGCAUAACACCACUUUUGCCUUUUCAUCAACAUGAAGGUCAAUUACCAUUGCCAAGAUUGUGACUCCACUUCUUGUCUGCUUGUCCUUGAAACAAAAACCUCAGAGUGCCCAGGGGACAGCUGUGCCCGGUUUCUAGCUCAGUUGGAAACUUGCUUUUUCUAACCCCUUGGGGAACCUGGAUGUCUACUCUAAAGCGUCCAGAGUCGCAGGCAUGGGAAGUACAAAGUCCCAUGGUGGGUCAUGAGAAUAAUGACCUCUGCUUCCCUUCCUUAUAUCACAAAACCAUGUACUCUUUCUUUAGGCCACAGAAUCACAUAAUGGUGUUUGAUGCAAUGUAUAUCCUACCUCCUAGAGGAUGGCAUCUAUAGUAGUCUGUUCUCACGCUGCUAAUAAAGACAUACCAGAGACUGGGUAAUUUAUAAAGAAAAAGAGGUUUAAUGGACUCACCGUUCCAUAUGGCUGGGGAGGCCUCACCAUCAGGGCAGAAGGCAAAAGGCACAUCUUACAUGGCAGCAGGCAAGAGAGAACAUGUGGAGGGGAACUCCUGUUUAUAAAAUCAUCAGAUCUCAUGAGACUUAUUCACUAUCACGAAAACAGUAUGGGAAAAACCCGCCCCCAUAAUUCAAUUACCUCCCACCAGGUGCCUCCCACCAGGUGCCUCCCAUGAUAUAUGGGGACUAUCACAAUUCAAGGUGAGAUUUGGGUGGGGACACAGACCCAAACCAUAUCAGCAUCUCAUCUCCACAGAAUAUGGCCUCUAGACUGGGGAUUCAGAAAUGUAUCCGCCAUUGCUUCAGUUCUGUAUCAGGCCAGCAGGUCCUGGGUGGUGAUCUUAUGUGAUCUGAGCAGUGGAUCUCAAGGUCAGGGCCUACUUAUAUCCUGAAAAGUGGGUCCAUUGAUCUCAGGUGAUAUUAGACAGGAUCCUGGCUAGUAAAUUAAACACCGUAAAUGGUAAAAUAGUGGUGCUUGUUGAGGCUCUUAGGGCAAGAGAAAUCGAUCUCCAGAAUGUCUUUUUAUAUUUCUGUGAGAAUAGACUGGUGGCUAUCCGUAUAUGAAAGAGCCUAAGGUGGUCACUUUCCCAGCAAGUGGCUGGAUGGUGGCCUAGAAGAAUAGUGCCGUGGUGAGGGGUCAGCCUUAGUGCUUAUUGCUAUCAGGUUGGCUGUUUGGCAAUGGAAAUAGCUAGAUUAUCCAUGAAAAGUGAGAAUCCUCUCUGUUGGGCCCAUUCAUAUUUUCCAUGUCUACUACAGUGACCACUUCUUUUGCGUGCCUAUUGUGUUAAUUCUGAAGCAGUCAACGGCAGAGGCUGAUGGAUGUCAACCUACCAGUCAUUUUGUCUAGUUGGUUAUUUAAUUCAACAACUGAGACAAAAUGUUCUUUGGUAUCUGUUAAUAUGUUAUAAAAAGAUCAUCAUAGUUUGUGCCCACUCCCAUGUGUCUAUCUUCAUGCCUCUAACCCUGAGUUCUUUGCCUCAUAUUUUCCAAUCCUUUUCUUUCUAAGCCUCUGAACAACUAGCCAGGCCUUACCCUCUGGCCGUAAGGCCAUAGACUUGCUAAUACCAUGGUCCUUUUUUGUGUGUAUAAAGUACAUGAUAAGAUGCUGCUCCUGAAACUCUGCCCACUGGGAGCAUUUUCCCCAGCUCUGUCUUUCAUGAUCACCCCAGAAAGCAGCAUACAGAAGCUGCUAUCUAUUUUUGAUUUGUAAACACAUACUGAGCCAGCUCAUCUGUAAUUUAAAUGGGCAUUUUGCUCCUUUCUUAAAGUGCUCCUACAUCCAGGCAAGAGUUGAAAGAAGAGCAUGGGGUGUUGAAAGCCACAGAUUUCUGGUGAGCUUCCCUUUUAGGAGACACAUUUAAGGUUUUUUGCUGCAUAAUGGGCAGGUAUAAUGUAAACUUUUUCUUUCUUUUCUACAAAAGCUUCAGUAAAUUUUCCAUCACUUAAGAAUGCUUUGUUCAAACAAAGUCUUCUUGGGAUUUUCAAAGAAAUGAAAAUGUUGAAGCUGACACUUUGAUUACUGACACUUUGAUUACACUUUCAGUGUAGAAAAGUAACUUGAUUUUUAAAUGACUGUUGAAGAGAUUAAUGGAAGGAAGAGAGUAAAGACAGGUUUUUGAGUGGAUAUUAGAACAAAAUGAAAAUAUUUUUGAUCAGGAAGAUUUCAGAAAGCUAAAAAUGACUUAUAAGACUGAAUAAUGGUCUCCAGAGAUGUUCAUGUCUUAAUCCCCAGAAUCUGUGACUGUUAGUUGAUAUUGCAAGAGGAACUUUGCAGUUGUGAUAAAGUUAAACGAGGAGAUUAACCAAGAUUACCCAGGUGGGCCCCUCUGAAGUCAGAAGACAAUGUAAUUACAGAAGCAAAGGGGUAAGUCAGAAGACAAUGUAAUUACAGAAGCAAAGGGGUAGAGAAUGAGACUUGAAGAUGUUGCGCUUCUAGCUUUGAAGACGUCUAGAAAGGCAGUCUCUGGAAACCGGGAAGGGCAGGGAAGCAAAGUCUCCCUGGAUCCUGCAGAGGACAGAGCCCUGGUGAUGCAUUUCAGACUUCUACCCUCCAGAAGGAUCAAAUUCUACAAAUAUGUGUCCUUUCAAGCCCCUAAACUAGUGGGCAUUUGUUAUAGCAGCAGUAAAAAAUGAAUACCAUGUGCUAUUUUGAAAUCUGACUUUUGUGAGAAGCCAGUUAAGUAUUUAUUUUGUUAACAAUUGGCUUUUGUGCUCACUGGAGGUUAAAAAUAUUUUUGUCAUUAAUACACUUUGAAUACUCAGUCCUAAGUAAUAUAAGUAGCGUGACCUUUUUUGCCCUUUCCCUCUCCAGGCACAACAUGAAGAAUAACUCAAUGAUUUGCCGAAAAGAAGAGAAAUAUAUUAUCCCUUCAGUUCCUAAACUUACUUGUUUUCUCAUCUUCAAGAACGAAAGUAAUUCAGCAUACACAUAUAGCAUAUUAAUAUUCUUUAUAAAUUAUAUUCAUGUACAACUAUAUAAUGUAUAAUCAUAUUCAUGUACUACCUGUACAAACAAAUUUACACAUUUAAAAUAUAAAAAAUAAGAUGAAAAUGGAAUCAAUGUAUCACAAGUGAUUGAAAUAUCUAAUACUUUCUUUCAGCAAAUCACUGGAUCAUACUGCAGAUUCCUUGAAUUUCUGCUCCUCUCAUUACAAACUGUUGUAUUAGAUGACCAAUAUAUAUCUUUUCCUACCAUUUAAUGAUUCUCUCCUUUUUCUACUGUGAGCUUGUUUUGUUGUUAAUGACAAAUACAGUACAGAUUUAGUUAGCUGCUGUGGAGUAUGAGGCAGAAUAAGCAAUGUGACUAAUCCUUAUUGUGCAUUCUCAAGCUGACUCCCAGUACUCUCUUUUCAUGCCUCCUGAGCACUAUACUUAUUAACAUUGUCUACUUCUGCAGUAUUUUAGUGAAAGGUAUUAGGAUGCAAUAUAUUUUCUUUUUAACAUGCAAAGGUGAUGAAUGAAAAUUAUAUGAUCAUUUGGUUAAUGAUAUUAAUUUAUCAGUGUGAAUAUGUAUUUUAAAAAAUCACAUACUGUUACUGCAGGAAAUAAAUUGAAGUUUCUUAUAUUUUGAAAAAAAAUCAGAUAAUAUACAUGCCAUAACUAAAAUGAUACUUUGUUGAAAGAAUCUAUUUUAAUCAGAGUAUGAGGAUGCCAAUCUCAUGUUUUUUUAAA
ensembl:lncRNA LINC00320 long intergenic non-protein coding RNA 320